AUGAAGCAAGAAUCGCCGGCCAGGUACCCAUCCUUGAGCAUCAAGGCUGCUGACAACAGAUUAUAAAGGAAUCCUGUCCUUGACGGAUUGUCUGGAAGAAAAAGACUCGCCCCUACAGACUGCACAGCAGUCAGUAAACCUUGACAAUCAAUGUGGCCUCCUGAAUGAAGGCAAUUUUUCGCCAAUCAUCUUUCCUGGAUUUGGCCAAAUGGGCAGCCAUUCACGGACGUACCUUCUCUCGCUCGCUCUCAGCCUACAGGAAUCACAGACUCAGAGCAGAUAUUUGGUAAGGAAAACUCCCCUGUCAGGUGACAGGUGGAGCCACAACUGGACCUUGAAGAAUUGUUGCUACAGGCGGGUUGACUAGAUACCGAGAUGCUUAGAUGAACCCACACAUCAUCUCAUUUCACUACCAUCCCUGAAGCCACAGCCCUGUAAGUAAAACAGCCAUGAGCUACUUAACGAUGGGGACACAUUCUAAAAACGCGGCCUUAGGUGAUGUCAUCACUGUGAGAACAUCAUAGAGUGCAGACGCACACACCUAGAUGGUACAGCCUACCACACACCUGGGCGAGGUGGUGUAGCUUGUCACUCCUGGGCUGCAAGCCUGUACAGCAUGAUACCAAACAACAUGAGAUUAAAUCAAGCUCAAGAGAAAAUGAUGCAAU